rnacentral:rRNA from 1 species
UGGGGAAUUUUCCGCAAUGGGCGAAAGCCUGACGGAGCAACGCCGCGUGAGGGAUGAAGGCCUCUGGGCUGUAAACCUCUUUUAUCAAGGAAGAAGAUCUGACGGUACUUGAUGAAUAAGCCACGGCUAAUUCCGUGCCAGCAGCCGCGGUAAUACGGGAGUGGCAAGCGUUAUCCGGAAUUAUUGGGCGUAAAGCGUCCGCAGGCGGCCCUACAAGUCUGCUGUUAAAAAGUGGAGCUUAACUCCAUCAUGGCAGUGGAAACUGUUGGGCUCGAGUGUGGUAGGGGCAGAGGGAAUUCCCGGUGUAGCGGUGAAAUGCGUAGAUAUCGGGAAGAACACCAGUGGCGAAGGCGCUCUGCUGGGCCAUCACUGACGCUCAUGGACGAAAGCCAGGGGAGCGAAAGGGAUUAGAUACCCCUGUAGUCCUGGCCGUAAACGAUGAACACUAGGUGUCGGGGGAAUCGACCCCUCCGGUGUCGUAGCCAACGCGUUAAGUGUUCCGCCUGGGGAGUACGCACGCAAGUGUG